rnacentral:lncRNA from 1 species
AGAACAAAGGAAGAAAAGAAAGAACAAGAACCCUAGGUGGAGGCUUUCAAGAGAAAAAGUGUGGAAAAUCAAGGAAAACAAGUGAAAAAGGUAAGAUUUCUCAAUUUAAACUUGAAAUCUAUUUUCCUUAAGCAUUUCUCCUUACUUUCCAUGGUUAAAUUUCAUGUUUUCAUCGUGAAUUCAUGGCUAGCCGAAUGGGUAUGGAGAGAAAGUGAUGUUGGAUUGAUUUGAUUUCAAGUUAUGUUAGUGUUUUCAAUUAGUUUACCAUGUCUAGAAGCAAAACAACAAGAAAAGAAUUCAUUUUUCCCAUCACCCAUCAAUGGCCGAACCUACCUUGUAUUGAGUGAGGAUGAAUUUGAUUUUUAUUUUAAGAGAAUUGGUUAGCAAAUGAUGCAUUAUGGUGUGGAAAAGUAGUAGGAAAAAUCACGGUGUUAAUACACCAUUAUUGACCGAAAAUUCUAAGAAGAAAAGUGAAGAUGGUUUUGCCAAAUUUUAGGUUAUUUGACUUAUGUUUGGUGAAUUAAGGUAUUGGAAAAGAAAUGGAGCAAUUUGGAGCUAAAUUGGACGCAUUGGCCAAUUAAUCGAGUGAUAAGACGAAUUAGGCCAACACCGGGUUUAGAUGGUUACCCGUGCAUUUUGCAUUCCAUAUCAUGCAUUAGUAGUCUAAAUUAGUUUAAUUUUGAUUUAGUACCAAUGUAGUAAGUUUCUCAAUUUUGUACUAUGUCAAGGUGGUGAGUUGAAAUACCCCAUACUUUGAUAUGGUGAUAAAUAAAGUUGAUCGAAUGCAAAUUGAGGUUAAUUAAAAUAUUUAGAAGUGAUAAAAGACGAAAUGAGUAGUUUAGGAUAAAAUAUUCCGCAAGUGAGAAAAUAAUAAUAAAAUAAUAAUAAUUUUAUCGGAGGAGAAUUUGUGAGAUAAAAGGCGAUUUGGAAGUCAAGUGAGGCAUAAUAAGGUAUUUUGGGUACCAAGGAGACAAGAUAAAAUUUUUAGAAUAAAAUAAUAUUUUAUUAAUAAAAUAAUAUUAAAAUAUUAAUAUUUAGCCGGAUGUUAAAGUCAAUCAAGAAGAAGGAUCGUAUAGUUGAUCCAAGUGGGGGAGAAGAUGACAAGCCUGACUCUAUAAAAAUAUUUGUCAUGACAUACAUGUGAUGGAUAACAUGUUUGCAUGUUAGGAGAGUCCCAAAAAAUUUACAAAAGUCGAUAUUGUACCUAGAGGUACAACAAAGUUCAUUUAAGCCUCGAACUAUAUCAAAUAGAGAAUUUAUGAUGAAAUUAAGAAUUUUAAAGUCCCAGAAUGGUUUAAUAUGGUGAUUUGGAGCUCGAGGAUCAAUUUGGAGUCAAACCGAAAUUUUCGCUAUCUAGGGGCAAAAUGGUCAUUUGCCACUAGGGGACAAAAUGGAAAUUUUAGAAAAGAUUUUUUUGGCCCCAUUUGACUUAUUGGAGUAUAAUUUGACUUAUUGGAGUAAGAUUUGAGGUUUAUAAGUGAAAAUUUUAAUUUCAGUAUAAUUUGGAGUAAAAGGGUAAAAUGGUAAUUUUGCCACCCCAGGGGCAAAAUUGUAAUUUUUCACCACCAGGACAUUUUUCCAGCACAUGGUCUUCCUUUAUCCUCAUUUUGACCAUUGACUAAUUGUGUGGUGGAGAUAAAAAGGAUUAAAAUUUUUAAAAUUUUAAAAACGGGCCAAUGACAUGAUGCCAUGUGUCAUACCUUUAUUAUUUUAUUAUUUCUUUAUAAAAAGGCAUAAAAUCAGCCCAUCUUCCACCCCAUGGCCGGCCAAACCAGCAAGAAGAGAGAGAAAACAAAAACAAAACCCUAGAGAGAGAAAAUCAAAGAAAAAGUGUGAAUUUUCAAGGAAAUUAAGUGAAAAAGGUGAGAUUUUUUCUAUUAAGCUUGAGUUUUCUUAUUCCCAAGCAUUUCUCUUUAUUUUCCAUGAUUAAAUUACAUGUUUUCAUGAUGAAUUCAAUUCUGAAAAAAUGGGUUAGGAGAGAGAAAGUUGUUGGAUUUAUUUGAUUUUAAUUUAUGUUAGUGUUUUUAGUUAGUUUAGCAUAUUUAGAAACAAAACAACAAGAAAAGAAUUUAUUUUCUCCCCCAACCAUUAAUGGCUGAAUUUACCAUGUAGUGAGUGAGGAUGAGUUUGAUUUUAUUCUAGGAGAAUUGGUUAAGGAAUAAUGAAUUAUGAGCCUAGAAAAAUAAUGGGAAUUUUCGGAGCAAAAAUACGAAUUUUUACCCACUAGGGGUAUUUUCGUAAUUUGCUGUUGGGACUGAUAAUUUGCAUCACACUGAGGGACAUUAAGUUAAUUUGGGUGCAAUUGAGGUAUAGAAACUGAAAAGAAUUAAAUUGGAGUUUAAACGAACCCGUUAGGAAUUUAAUCGGGUGAUAAGACGAAUUAGGCUAAUACCGGAUUUAGAUAGUUACCAGUGCAUUUUUGCAUUCCAUAUCAUGCAUUGGUAGUCCAAAUUAGUUUAAUUUUGAUUUAGUACCAACUUAGUGAAAUUCUCGAUUUUGUACUGUGUCAAGGUGGUGAGUCCUCCAAUAAAGGCAAGGAAAUUGCAUCCGAGGACCAGUAGACAGAGUGCUUCGAAAGUCUGCAUUCUAGACAUUGUGAGUAAACUUAUUAUCGUCUUAAUUAUCUAGAGUAGUUUUAUACAACUGUGUGAUUUUAUGAAAAAUGGGUUUAAAUGGUAAAUUGUUAUGUUUUAAGAGAAAUUGUGAUUUUAUAAAAUGAUUUUAUAAAUUUUCUGAAAAAUCGAAUAUUGGUUUUGAAAAUAGAGUAAUUGGAGACUGCUAGUUUGUGUUGCAAAUUUAUGGUUUUGAAUUGAAUGGCUUAUGAUAAUAAAUGAGCAUGAAUGGCUAAACUGAUUUUGGUGUUAUAAUUAUUUAUACUGUGUAUUCAGCCUUGAGAGGCUAGGUUGUGAUAAAUUGCCAUGACAUGCUAGAAUGAAUUUUAUUGAUUGGUGGAUUAUAUAUUAAUUAUUUACUGCAGAGGGGGUUCCGUGGACCAGCCUAUUAGAGGGGCACGGUAAACUCCAUUAUAUUAUUACCUCGAACGGAGAGGCGCGUAGGGUAUCUCCUGGGGUAUAGCUUAGGGUUCACUUCACGCCAAACCACCACGUGAAGGGGAACUCAGCCAACGCCAAGGAACGGCUGUAUUUUUUUCAAACAAAAAUAUAUUUUAAGUGUACACAAAAUUUUAACAGCCUUGGCGGACUCGGUUAGAUGCCCUGCGCAAGGUAUCACCGAGUAUGAGUUUUGGCACGAGCCAAAGUUUUAAGAAAUUCAUAAGCCAAGUUGAUUACUCGAUUUUUAUGGAUUGAUUUUAUUUGGUUGAAAUGAGUUGAAAGGUAAUGAAAUUACAGUAUGAUGAUUUAUUUUAAUUGUCUCCAUUUACUCGACUUUAGAUAGUUUAGAUGGUAUCUGUUUACUCACUGGGAUUUUAUAAUCUCACCACCCUCAUUUCCUCACAUUUCAGGCUCAGGGAAUUCCAUAAUUAGCUGACUUGACAAGGACCUUCAUUUAGACUCGAAUCGGUAAAAGCUGUAGGUUUUCAGCUUUCGAUACAUUUUGGUUAGAGGUGGGCCCACGUGUCACUGUAAAAGAAAUUUUAUGCUUUGGUUAUUUGCUUUAUAGUAUAUAUGAAUAUAAUUAACUUUUACGCUAUAAGAAUUAUGUACCGAUAGUUUUAUAAAAAUUAUUUUACAAGAAAAUAGUUUAUUUUAUUAAAUAUUUUUAUUAUAUUCAAAUGGUCAAAUUUUCAUUUCAAAUAAACGUUUUAGAUACUUAAUCUUUUUUAUUAAAUUAUUAAAUAUAUAUUUU